AACGCACAUGGCACUCUUCCUCGUGGAGAGUAUACCUGUUUGAGCAUCAUAAACAUCUUUUCAACUCGGUCGAGUUGGAUGUGAGGCGUCGGCUGUCGUGCACUGCUGUGUCUACGUGGCCGUGCCUUUAAAUCGAGGAAGGUGCAAGGAUGCGCCAACUGUGUGAUAGAGACAUUAGUCCCUAGUCUUGUGCCCGUUGCUGGGUACCGGGCUAGUCACAGGAGGCACUCUACGCAUCGUCACAAACCCCACUAUCACAAAUGAUCUCAAAUCAGGCAAGACUACCCGCUGAACUUAA
rnacentral:misc_RNA from 1 species